rnacentral:rRNA from 1 species
UACGAAGGGGGCUAGCGUUGCUCGGAAUCACUGGGCGUAAAGGGUGCGUAGGCGGGUUUUUAAGUCAGGGGUGAAAUCCUGGAGCUCAACUCCAGAACUGCCUUUGAUACUGAAGAUCUUGAGUCCGGGAGAGGUGAGUGGAACUGCGAGUGUAGAGGUGAAAUUCGUAGAUAUUCGCAAGAACACCAGUGGCGAAGGCGGCUCACUGGCCCGGUACUGACGCUGAGGCACGAAAGCGUGGGGAGCGAACAGG